GGGGGCAGGUGGCGGGCUGGUGCCCUCCUUGGACUUCAAAUCCAGUGGCGGGCCUGGACGGUCCGCGGUGGGUUCGAUUCCCACAUGCUCCC
rnacentral:tRNA from 1 species